UACGGAGGGUGCAAGCGUUGCUCGGAAUUAUUGGGCGUAAAGGGUAGGUAGGUGGUCUUAUUUGUCUGGGGUGAAAGCCUUGAGCUUAACUCAAGAAGUGCCCCAGAAACGGUGAGACUAGAGUCCUGGAGAGGGUCGUGGAAUUCCCGGUGUAGCGGUGAAAUGCGUAGAGAUCGGGAGGAACACCAGAGGCGAAGGCGGCGACCUGGACAGGUACUGACACUCAACUACGAGAGCGUGGGGAGCAAACAGG
rnacentral:rRNA from 1 species